rnacentral:lncRNA from 1 species
UGGAAAAACGAGUCGGGGGUAUGAAAUUUACCUCGAUCGGCGGUCGGAAAUCCCUCCGGUGCGGCGGCGGGUGGCGGCGGCCGGCUUCUGGUUCGUCUUCUCCGGCGAGGGCAGGCGGCUAGGGUUUGGGGUCUGGUGUGGGGGUCUUAUUUAUACCCUUUUUCCUUUUGAUCUCAGCCGUCCAUUUUGAUUUAAUCUGGGCCGUCCGUUUUUGAUUAAAUCUGGGCCGUCCGUACGAUUAAAUCUGGGCUGUCCGUGCGCGCAAUUGAUCUGGGCCGUCCGAUCGCGCGCACGCGGAUCGCCAACGUGGCCCGUCCCCGGUCGACGUGAUUUUGCCACGUGUCAGGUCCUG